AUUGAACGCUGGCGGCAUGCCUUACACAUGCAAGUCGAACGGUAACGGGCCUUCGGGUGCCGACGAGUGGCGAACGGGUGAGUAAUGCAUCGGAACGUACCUUUCAGUGGGGGAUAACGUAGCGAAAGUUACGCUAAUACCGCAUAUUCUGUGAGCAGGAAAGCAGGGGAUCGCAAGACCUUGCGCUGAUUGAGCGGCCGAUGUCAGAUUAGCUAGUUGGUGAGGUAAAGGCUCACCAAGGCGACGAUCUGUAGCGGGUCUGAGAGGAUGAUCCGAGACACUGGGACUGAGACACGGCCCAGACUCCUACGGGAGGCAGCAGUGGGGAAUUUUGGACAAUGGGGGCAACCCUGAUCCAGCCAUGCCGCGUGAGUGAAGAAGGCCUUCGGGUUGUAAAGCUCUUUCGGCCGGGAAGAAAUCGCACAGGCUAAUACCUUGUGUGGAUGACGGUACCGGAAUAAGAAGCACCGGCUAACUACGUGCCAGCCGCCGCGGUAAAAC
rnacentral:rRNA from 1 species